CGGUUCUAGCGGCGGACGGGUGCGUAACGCGUGGGAAUGUGCCCUUCUCUACGGAAUAGCCCUGGGAAACUGGGAGUAAUACCGUAUACGCCCUAUUGGGGAAAGAUUUAUCGGAGAAGGAUCAGCCCGCGUUGGAUUAGGUAGUUGGUGGGGUAAUGGCCUACCAAGCCGACGAUCCAUAGCUGGUUUGAGAGGAUGAUCAGCCACACUGGGACUGAGACACGGCCCAGACUCCUACGGGAGGCAGCAGUGGGGAAUCUUAGACAAUGGGGGCAACCCUGAUCUAGCCAUGCCGCGUGAGUGAUGAAGGCCUUAGGGUUGUAAAGCUCUUUCAGCUGGGAAGAUAAUGACGGUACCAGCAGAAGAAGCCCCGGCUAACUCCGUGCCAGCAGCCGCGGUAAUACGGAGGGGGCUAGCGUUGUUCGGAAUUACUGGGCGUAAAGCGCACGUAGGCGGACCGGAAAGUCAGAGGUGAAAUCCCAGGGCUCAACCUUGGAACUGCCUUUGAAACUAUCGGUCUGGAGUUCGAGAGAGGUGAGUGGAAUUCCGAGUGUAGAGGUGAAAUUCGUAGAUAUUCGGAGGAACACCAGUGGCGAAGGCGGCUCACUGGCUCGAUACUGACG
rnacentral:rRNA from 1 species